rnacentral:tRNA from 1 species
GCCCCGGUAGCUCAGAUGGAUAGAGCGGACGCCUCCUAAGCGUCAGGUCCCAGGUUCGAAUCCUGGUCGGGGCACCA